GCACGGAUGGCCGAGUGGUCUAAGGCGCCAGACUCAAGCGAACAGCUUGGCACGAGUUCAGUGCCUCCUGGGUGUUCUGGUACCCGUAUGGGUGCGUGGGUUCGAACCCCACUCCGUGCA
rnacentral:tRNA from 1 species